UCGCGUGCACAUUGCUACACUUGCUUCUCGCAACUUGAGAGCGAAGGAAGGGGAAGCUAGACUAUAUGAAGAGCCAGGCCUAGGCGAUUUUGAUCAAAAUGGCUCUUUUUGUUUGCGAGUUUUAAUACGUUGCUUUCCGUAUUCUCGUAUUUUGUUGUGAUAACGCCAGCAAGGCUGUUUUAAGUCUUUCAAAAAAAGUCUGUGCAAAGGUUACAAGUGCUAGUAUUGGUCAUCAUAGUGAUGGACACCUCCUUGAUCCUGUGUUGUGUUUACAGUCUAACACAGCAGCAGCUCUAUUGGACUGGGGUCUUGUUACAGCAGAUGUGCUUUUGUGAGUCCAUAGUUCCCCUGAGGACCACCACCCUUCCCUGAUAGCAGCCUGCCUUCCCCCACUUCAGCGUUCCCAUUCAUCUCUAAAUAAGCAGCUGCAAGGACAUGCAUUCCAGCUCCUCAGAUCCUGUUCCCUAUCCAUCUGACGCACUUUGAGCAUGAAGAUCAAUGGAGCCAAGGGCAGUGUGUAAGGGGAUCCAGGGCCAAGGAGGAGAGCAGAUUUGUGUUUUAUUUGUUCUGUGGUGCAGACCUGUUUGAUGUGACCCUCUCCCAUUUCAUUCAUCCGUAAAAUCUGCUGUGUGUGAGUGAAAACUGGGGGAGUGGGUCUCACUUGAUACUCAGAUGUAAUGAGGAACUGCCAGUCAUGUAAAAGGGACAAUUCACCCAAAAAAUGUAAAUUCUGUCAUCAUUUACUCCCCCUAAUGCUAUUCUUCUGUGGAAGAUAAAAGAAGAUAUUUGGAGAAAUGUCUGUGUUAUUUUUUUUUGUCUAUGACAACCAAAAUUUUGUUAGCAGAAUUCUUCAGAAUAUCAGAAUAUUCUAUGUUCUGCAGAAGAAAGAAAGUCCUACAGGUUUGCAGCGACAUAAGAGGGAGUACAAUUUUCCUUUUUUUUUUUGGGGUGAACAAUGCCUUAGCAGUAGGGUAUCAUGUUGAAUGUAUUAAAAAUAGGAAAAGAUAUUGAAAUGUUGGUAUAUGAGUGCUGUUUCCUGUCAGGGUCAUCUUACAGUACCAAAUUUCUGUCUUGGUGAUGAUGUGUGUAAUUUUCCUGAUCUUAAUUUCAUAUUCAUAGACUUCAACUUUAUUAGUAAUUUUCUCCUAAAUGUGUAAACACCGUACUUUUAUUUAGUUUGAGUGUUUUUGCAAUGCAAAGUGUGACUGGGCCAGGACCUGUUUUGCAGACCAUUGGCAGACAAACAUUUCUGCAUUGUGAUGUUAGUUUCGCAUAAAUCUCACGCUUUUUUUAGCACAGAAAUCUCACACUUUCACAGUUCUCGCAUUAAGUUUCUAUAGAAAUAGCAAAACAUAAAACAGAGAAUGCAACAAGAAAAUUAGUUUGGGGUCUCCGAAAGCAUUGUAGUGCAUUGCUUGUUUAGACAUGACAGAGAUAUGACUGUAAUCUAGUCUUUUGUAAUUAACCUCCAGGCUUUCCUGUGUGCUCCUAAUUACUCUACAUAAACAAUGUGGGAUCAGUGCUAAUCUGAAAGAGCCCAUUCAGAGGCUUUCAUGUGGGGCUUCUAAUGGGCUCUGCAGGCGGGGGAGUGCAGGCUGAUCCGGAGGAGGUGGUGGGGGGAGUUCACAGGAGGGAACUGUUAACAGAUCACCCACACCACUGGAUUCAGAUACCAGGGUUGAAGGCAUAAACUCAGCAUCACAUUAAACAGCCUGGUUCCACUCAGAAGCCAUAACCACCAAGCCCACACCAUAAACACAGGUCCUGCCAGUCUUAAUGCACAUAUGGUGAUGCAGUCAAUGCUCACAGACUUUGCCAUCUUGAUUAGAUUAUAUUAGAUUACAAGUACAGCCAAUUAAAUACACUUCAAAGAAACAUUAUGAUGUAAAUGUAAAUUAUUUCAGAUUCUAAUAAGUAAAUUAGGGACAUUGAUCACGUGACUGUAAGGAAGGUCAGAUGUUCUUCCAUUGAAGCUCAAGAUGCUCUUUGGAUCUCAAAUCAUUCAGCGCAUGGUCAUCAGGUUUCAGACAAUCUUGCUCAGGUUCUGCUAUCAUGAAAACAUAAAGGCAAAAUAGAAGUAUUUUCA